rnacentral:lncRNA from 1 species
AUUUUAGUGACCUUAAUGUAGUUAACAAACACAUAUAUUAUACAAACACACAUUUAAUAAAUAAUUUUUUGACACGCCCACAAGCGACAAAUGUGGGGCGACAUAAGCGACUCAUCACGUUCUAGUGUGAACGCAGGGUCACACGUCCCUCAGAUAGAAAGGCGAGUUUUACGGAUGCAGGUAACAAUAGCAGUUCCUGGUUUUUGGAGGCUGGGCUAAGCUGCUGCAGCAGAAAGUGUUGUGCUGAAAAAGGACUUGAUGAUUAAUGUCGUUCCUACAGGUGCACUAUCUGGGGAGGACGUAUUCAAAAGAACGAGGAAAUGAGAAGAGCAGUGAUGUGGACCUGGCUGUGUGUGAGGAGUGGGAUGUGAAGACCAUCACUAGCGCUUUAAAACUCUACCUGAGGAGUCUGCCUGAGCCAUUAAUGACGUACGGCCUUUACAAGGAG